GUUGAAAUACAACAGUACGUAGGCUGAUUUCACAUCACGCCACUAUUGCAACCGGCACUCCCACCAGACCAUGACUCUUCAGUUUGACAACGGGUGUUGACGGCAAAACUGAAAAGCAAACAGUGGCUUUGAUGGUGGACCAGAUAACAUGAACACAUCUUCUACUACGGUUCCAACUAUAACAACAUGUCAGAGUGCUUGGGGGAGAUGACAGCAGCAUGAAGGAGCAGCAGAAAAAGGAUUUAGAACCAUGGUGCCGGCUCUUAUCAAGAAGUUCUGCGUUGGGUUCCAUGACAUCCUCGUGCUUCCGGACAUCUCUAGGAGAUCUCAGCCCGAAGCGUCCUGAGAGGCACCAGUGAGACGCCAGUGAGGAACCAGUGAGGCGCCCUGACAACUGGUCCUUCUUUAUCUAAAAGACCAACGACAGACAGAACCACUUGAAUUAACAUGAACCACAGAAUAAAAAAUCUGUUUGUGCGUGUUUGUGUGCGUCAUGCCAAUUGGAAGGAGAUGUGUGUGUCCCAGUGUUCACUACUUGGCCCGGCUAGACUCCCUGUCACAUGAGCUGAGGCCUUCAGUUCUAAUGGUCAGAGGGAACCUAGAGAGUGUUCUCACGUUCUACUGCCAGCGAUCUGAUCCCUCUCACAUUCUACUGCUGCCCUCUGUAAUCAAGUCCAUAGCUUUGGUGAAACAUAUAUUUAAGAUGCUGAAUGCCGAUUCUCUAUCAUUAAUUUAAGUUCACAUCUUUUUUCACAAUAAUAGCAGAUGAGUGUUGUGUUAUUAUGCUGAAAAGGUAACCGUCCUGCCCAAACAUAAUAUUAUGGCCUUUUUCAUUGGAUGGUCACUGCAUUUGGGUUGCUUGAUUUAUUCAUUUUAAUGUCUAUUGUACGGAACAGGGUUAGGGCGAUUUGAUUCAUUUUUUUAUUUUGAAUAAAGUCAGAAUUAUUAUAAAUCUAAAUAAAUGCAUUCUCAGAAUUC
ensembl:lncRNA